AUUUUGGAUACCUUCAACUGUUGGAAUAGCAACACCAUGAACAUGCAAAGAGGCAGCCUUUCGAUAAUUGGGAGCACCAUCGAUAUGAGGAGACAAUCGUUUAUUCUGACAUCCAGGAAAAUGAUCACUCUUUAAAAUAGUCUUCUUCCCCAAAACCGAUCCAUCUCUCUGUUUCAUCACUUGCUCUGGUUCCUUCGGUAUCGACAUGGAUCGCAUAAUCACGGAAACCCUUUUCACCCUUUACCCAAAUACACCGAUUACAAUCAAAAUUGAAAACGAAAUUGCGUCAGU
rnacentral:misc_RNA from 1 species